rnacentral:misc_RNA from 1 species
CGACGACGACGAGGUACGUAGAGAGCGAGAGGAUAGAUGUCGAGCCGAAGGUCGUCGUCGCACGGCAACAUCUCCGAGGACGAGAUGAACGAGCUCGUCUCCAAGCUCCAGGCCCUGCUCCCCAGCUCCCGCCGCCGCCGCGGCUCCGGCCAGGCGUCGACGGCGAAGCUGCUGAAGGAGACCUGCAGCUACAUCAAGAGCCUCCAGCGGGAGGUGGACGACCUCAGCGACCGGCUGUCGGACCUCUUGUCCACCAUGGACCACAACAGCCCCGCGGCGGAGAUCAUCCGAAGCAUCCUCCGCUCCUGAGCGCGCGCAAGGGCGAGGUCAACGAACGCCGGCCUCCGAUCGAUCGCCGACAGCGCGCGCUCUCCGGCCGGCUGGUCACGUGCGGGAGCUGAGCUCAAUUAGGUA